UACGGAGGGUGCAAGCGUUGUUCGGAAUUAUUGGGCGUAAAGGGCGCGUAGGCGGUCGGAUAAGUCUUGUGUGAAAUCUUCGGGCUCAACUCGAAGUCUGCACAGGAAACUAUCUGGCUUGAGUGUGGGAGAGGUGAGUGGAAUUCCUGGUGUAGCGGUGAAAUGCGUAGAUAUCAGGAGGAACACCUGUGGCGAAAGCGGCUCACUGGACCACAACUGACGCUGAGGCGCGAAAGCUAGGGGAGCAAACAGG
rnacentral:rRNA from 1 species